rnacentral:rRNA from 2 species
UACAGAGGGGGCAAGCGUUGUUCGGAAUUACUGGGCGUAAAGGGCGCGUAGGCGGCCUUCUAAGUCGAACGUGAAAUCCCUGGGCUCAACCCAGGAACUGCGUCCGAUACUGGAAGGCUUGAAUCCGGGAGAGGGAUGCGGAAUUCCAGGUGUAGCGGUGAAAUGCGUAGAUAUCUGGAGGAACACCGGUGGCGAAGGCGGCAUCCUGGACCGGUAUUGACGCUGAGGCGCGAAAGCCAGGGGAGCAAACGGG